rnacentral:misc_RNA from 1 species
AAAGUCGUAACAAGGUUUCCGUAGGUGAACCUGCGGAAGGAUCAUUACAGAAUAAACCUGAUGAGUUGUAGCUGGCCCAUUCUCAUGGGCAUGUGCUCGCUUGUCAUUUUUAUCUAUCCACCAUGUGCACUACGCGUAGGCCUGAAGAAUUUUUAUUCAACCAGAGUUCGCUUUGGGUGUUGGGAAUCUGCUAUUGAAAUAAUAUGGCUUUUUCUGACUUCAGUGCCCUAUGAUUUAUUUAAAUACACCAAUGUAUGUUUAAAGAACGCUCUACUAGGUUUAUAAAGCCUAUAAAUUUAAUACAACUUUCAGCAACGGAUCUCUUGGCUCUC